CAGGAAAAAUCAUUAUAUUCCUUCCAUCUUUGCCAAAAGCUGUGGUGUUUGAGCAGCCAAAGCCAGGAGGCUUCAGCACCAGGGCUCUGCCCUGGAGGGCUCCUGCUCCUGCCUGUGCUGUGGGGGAGAAGAACACAUC